CAAUAGCGUAUAUUAAAGUUGUUGCGGUUAAAAAGCUCGUAGUUGGAUUUCUGCUGAGGACGACCGGUCCGCCCUCUGGGUGAGUAUCUGGCUUGGCCUUGGCAUCUUCUUGGAGAACGUAGCUGCACUUGACUGUGUGGUGCGGUAUCCAGGACUUUCACUUUGAGGAAAUUAGAGUGUUUCAAGCAGGCACACGCCUUGAAUACAUUAGCAUGGAAUAAUAAGAUAGGACCUUGGUUCUAUUUCGUUGGUUUCUAGAGCUGAGGUAAUGAUGAAUAGGGAUAGUUAGGGGCAUUCGUAUUCAACUGUCAGAGGUGAGAUUCUUGGAUUUGUUAAAGACGCGCUACUGCGAAAGCAUUUGCCAAGGAUGCUUUCAUUGAUCAAGAACGAAAGUUAGGGGAUCGAAGAUGAUCAGAU
rnacentral:rRNA from 1 species